rnacentral:misc_RNA from 1 species
UCUCCGUAGGUGAACCUGCGGAGGGAUCAUUACAGAGUUCAUGCCCUACCGGGUAGAUCUCCCACCCUAUGUUAUUAUUACUUUGUUGCUUUGGCGGGCCGUUAGGCUCCGGCCCGACUACCGGCCCCGGCUGGUAAGCGCCCGCCGGAGGACCCAAAACCCUGAAUAUUAGUGUCGUCUGAGUACUAUAUAAUAGUUAAAACUUUCAACAACGGAUCUCUGGGUUCUG